rnacentral:rRNA from 1 species
GGCGAGUGAAGCGGGAUGAGCUCAAAUUUAAAAUCUGGCUGGUUUACUAGUCCGAAUUGUAGUUUAAAGAAGCGUUUUCGGUGGCAGCCUGGGUAUAAAUCCUUUGGAACAGGGUAUCAUAGAGGGUGAGAAUCCCGUCUUUGACUCAGUGCAUGCUACUAUGUGAUACGUUUUCAAAGAGUCGAGUUGUUUGGGAAUGCAGCUCAAAAUGGGUGGUAAAUUUCAUCUAAAGCUAAAUAUUGGCGAGAGACCGAUAGCGAACAAGUACCGUGAGGGAAAGAUGAAAAGAACUUUGAAAAGAGAGUUAAACAGUGCGUGAAAUUGUUGAAAGGGAAACGCUUGACACCAGUCAUGCGAGCGGAAAAUCAGUCUUUUGCAGUGGGGAGUUGUGUGGGUUCGGACCGCAAGGCCGGCCUGCGCUGCAUCUCUGCUGUAAGUGAUGCACUUUUUCGUUUGCAGGCCAACAUCAGUUUCUUCUGCUGGACAAAACUCUUGAGAAGGUGGCAGCUUAGGCUGUGUUAUAGCUCUUGAGCGAUACAGUGGAGGGGACUGAGGUUUUCGCAGCGCGUGCUUUCGGGCAAGGCUGAUUGGGUGCUAUGGGAUCGUUCGGUGUACAAUGCAUGCAUUUUGCGCCGUGUCUUUUCUAUACUCGCUCAACUCGGCUCUUCCGCGCUUAGGA